rnacentral:rRNA from 1 species
AGAAUCAACGCUGGCGGCGUGCCUAACACAUGCAAGUCGCACGAGAAAGGGGCUUCGGCUCUGAGUAAAGUGGCGCACGGGUGAGUAACACGUGAAUAAUCUACCUCCGAGUGGGGAAUAACUGAGAGAAAUCUUAGCUAAUACCGCAUAACACUUACGAGUCAAAGCAGCAAUGCGCUUGGAGAGGAGUUCGCGGCCGAUUAGUUAGUUGGCGGGGUAAUGGCCCACCAAGACGAUGAUCGGUAUCCGGCCUGAGAGGGCGCACGGACACACUGGAACUGAAACACGGUCCAGACUCCUACGGGAGGCAGCAGUGGAGAAUUUUGCGCAAUGGGGGAAACCCUGACGCAGCAACGCCGCGUGGAGGAUGAAAUAUCUUGGUAUGUAAACUCCUUUCGAUGGGGAAGAUUAUGACGGUACCCAUAGAAGAAGCCCCGGCUAACUUCGCGCCAGCAGCCGC